CCAAUAGCGUAUAUUAAAGUUGUUGCAGUUAAAAAGCUCGUAGUUGAAUUUUGGGUCUGGCCGGGCGGUCCGCCUUCUGGGUGAGUACUGUUCCGAUGUCGGGCCUAUCCUUCUGGUGAGUCGGCAUGCCCUUCACUGGAUGUGUCGGGGAACCAGGACCAUUACCUUGAAAAAAUUAGAGUGUUCAAAGCAGGCAUUUGCUCGAAUACAUUAGCAUGGAAUAAUGAAAUAGGACGCGUGGUGCUAUUUUGUUGGUUUCUAGAACCGCCGUAAUGAUUAAUAGGGAUAGUUGGGGGCAUUAGUAUUCAAUUGUCAGAGGUGAAAUUCUUGGAUUUAUUGAAGACUAACUUCUGCGAAAGCAUUUGCCAAGGAUGUUUUCAUUAAUCAAGAACGAAAGUUAGGGGAUCGAAGACGAUCAGAUACCGUCGUAGUCUUAACCAUAAACUAUGCCGACUAGGAAUCGGGCGAUGUUAUUUUCACGACUCGCCCGGCGCCUUAUG
rnacentral:rRNA from 1 species